rnacentral:piRNA from 1 species
UUCAUAGACUUGUAGUCAGACCUUGCCUCA